UGAAAAAUUUCCCAAACCUAAUUUACAUUUCCCACAUUGCACACAAUUUUACCCUUUUCUUUCGUUUUCACAAGCUUUUAUUUUGAGUAUUGUCCUUAGGUCAUCAUCUUCCUCAACGCAUCAUCGUUGGUGGUCUCGCAUUGUUAGUUCAUCGGUGGUUUCCAUUGCCAUUACGGUUGUCUCCGUCGCCGUUCAGCUGCGUCGUCGCUGCGGUCACCAAUGCAUUCACGGUUGCCGUGGCCGUUGUAGUUUCUUAGAUUAAUUAUGAACUUUGUGUAUUCUCUCUUCUCUGAAGUUGUACCUUGGGAAUUUUUUAGGUUACGAUCAACCAUCUAUUGGGAAAUUUGGGAAAAGAUUAUUCAAAGACUAUUGGGGUUGUUGAUCUUGGUGGUGGCGUUCAAAGAUUAUUCACUUACCUGUGCUAUGGUUUUGCUAGCUGCUCGUGCAGAGAUUUUAAAGGUGUCUGAUGAUGCUGAAAACCCUUGUAUCUUAUUUGGUUAUGAUGGUGCAUCGGAUUGGCCAAUUACAAAGUCAUCUAAAUCAUCAGUUGGGCAUAAGAGCACUGGAAUUGUUCCAAAGGCUGAAACUGCUUCAUUGCCCCUUAUAAUAUCUGAUCCAUUACUUCCCACAAGCCUUGCUAAGGUAUGUUAGUCUAAACGUGGAUUUUCCUUGACUAUCCUGUUUCCAGGGAUGUCCGAAAGGUGUUACACCUAAAUACAGUUUGAAGCCUCUUGUGCCAAGGCUUUCUCAACUUCUAGAACUUGAGGUUAAGAUUGCAAAUGACUCUAUUGGGGAGGAAGUUGAGAAGUUGGUUGCAGGACUUCCAGAAGGUGGUGUUUUGCUUCUAUGUGAAUGAUGCAUUUGGCACUGCCCACAGAGCUCAUGCUUCAACAGAAGGAGUUGCCAAAUAUUUGAAGCCUUCUGUUGCAGGAUUCCUUAUGCAGAAGGAGAUUAUGAGACUAAGGCAUUGCCUUCUCAAUUUGGAUCCAUUGUUUCUGACAUCAUUAAUGGGAUGACAGUAAGUUUCUUAUAAUUAAUAGAGAUGAUGAGUUUUACAUUUCACACAUUGAUUAAUUUUACCUCUAACAAUGGGAAAACUAAUCGUUGGAUAAAGAUAAGACAAAUUUACUUUUACAAUACACUUUGUAUUCUUAUAAUUAACCGUGAAUCUAAAAUGUUGGAUGCAAAUUGGAUAAUUUUGCUUUUCAAAUAUAUAUUUUAAGUUUUACAAUACAAAAUAAGAGUUUUAUGAUAACCCAGUAAGUCCAAUUUACUGACUGCAUUAAUUAAAUUCUAGCUGUGGGGAAUAUGGAUCCUAAGACAAGUACAAACUUUAGCUUAAGAUGAUAUGCAUUAUGUUUAGGGGUGACUUGUCUCGUACAAAAUUACAAUAAUUUUAAAAUGGCAAUACAUAUGUUCAACUCUACUGUUGAAGUUGUAGAACAUGAAGAAGCUUUGCCAACUUCUAAUGCUUUGGAAAUUCUUAAGAAGUAUAAAUUCUUUCAUUUGAUUGAUCUUUGUUUUUGAUUUAGGCCUCUUCCUUCUAUGCUUGCAUUUAACUUUGAGUGUUAUGACUAACCAUGUUUUUCUUUAUUUUAAUUAUGCGAAUUUGGUAUAUAUGAUAUAAUAGUAGAUGCAAGAUAAUGCUCUUACCAGGUACCUAAUCAAUGAUUGAUGUGAGGAGAAAAGUCUUUUUCCACUUUGACUAAUGAUGCUUUGAUUAAUAGGAUAAGUUAUUUCAAAUUUGUUACUUUUUCUAGUUGACUUUCUUUAUCUUUGUGUUAGGUUUUGUUUCUCAUAAUUUGUAUGAUUAAAUGUAGAUCAAAGAAAGGAAGGGAAACUUUCUUUAUCAUCACGGUCUGAGGGCACUUCCAAAAGCAAAGUUGCUUCAAAAUUAGAUUCCAAUAUCCACCCUUCUAGUAACCGUAUUCAAGCAACUCUUGAGAUGCAACGACAACAGCUUCAGAGUUGGAUUCAUGUGGUCUUGUUAGCGAGAAUCUUGAGUGUUGGCUCUUCUUUAGGUGUGACAUGAAUUUCUUUAUCGUUUUGAAGCUUCCUGCUUAUUGUGUUGGCCACCGUUGCUGUUGCAAGUCUUGUGUUGGACUCAAAUUACAGGGAAUUUUAAAGAAGUAGUGGUGAAGGAAUGAUGUAUUUUUUUUUAUAU